CCCCCGAUAGCUCAAUGGAUAGAGCAGGGGUGUUCUAAGCCCUUGAUGUGGGUUCGAUUCCUGCUCGGGGGACCA
rnacentral:tRNA from 1 species